AUGCUUACUUCAGAGGCACAAAUACUAAAAUUGGAAUGAUAUAGAGAUUAGCAUGGACGCUGUGCAAAGAUGACAUGCAAAUUUCUGAAGCAUUCAGUUUUUAG